AAUUGUUGAAAGUCAUGGAGUGUGGGAGGUUAUACUGCGAAUAAAAUAUAUACUAUGCCAUACAGUCCUACAUUCAAGCGUUGCCCUUGUUUGUUGUGGAUCGGUCAGGCGGACUGCCGCGGAUCCUAACCUUCAGUCAGGCGUACUGUGUUGAGGUAGGACUGACUUGGCGACUUGCGCUUAUGGCUUUGGCACUUGGCGGUCAUUAGCUAGAGAGUUGCCGGAACGCGCUUGUGCGUGUACAUAGAA